UGUGGUGGAAAAUCUGGUGGCUUCAUGUCCUAUCCAGGGUGAUAGGUUCUUUCUCAAUAUAGAUCACUGGGAUCAAACUGCUGGGGGGGGUACCCCACAGUUUGAAUUACAAAGUUGCAGCUAGUCUGAUUGGCUUACGUUUAACCUGUUGGAACAUCAAAGCGGUAGGGAAUAUCAUUUACAGCUUCAGAAAAUCCUAUCGUGCAAGCAGGGC
rnacentral:lncRNA from 1 species